rnacentral:rRNA from 1 species
AGUUCGUGGAGUAAUUUGUCUGGUUAAUUCCGUUAACGAACGAGACCUUAACUUGCUAAUUGGGAUGUGUAUUUAAUACAUUAUCCCACUUAGAAGGACCAUGUAUGCAUAAUACAAGGAAGCGUGAGGCAAUAACAGGU